CACAGAAGUAUUUCACUUUCAGAGGGUGACCAGGAAGCCAAGUGAGGCGCAUGUGACAUGAAACAAUUUCCUGGAGAACAGAUUUAAAAAUACACAUGGUUUAUGAUCUUUAUACUGUUCCGUUGUUGAUGAAAGGAGCAGGAGCUACAGUUGCAUAAUGAGGACCAUGCUGUGACACUGAGCUUGGACGAUCACAAAGUUUCACUCGGGCAUUUGGUUGCCUGAUGUGACUUAAACGAGACAAUCUCUUCAGGCAGUGAGCAAAGCAGGUACCUACGGUGCUCUGGCCACUGGGAUCCCCGACACAGGCAGAAGACUAAUUAGAUGAGAUACUGGAGUGAUGCUAAGAGGAAGCCACGUCCCAUGCAGGACAGGCAGGUAGAAGCAUAAAGGUUUCCAGCUCUUCACCUCCGUGUUUCCCCACCAGCAUCUCUUCCCUGGGACCAGUUUUCAGUCGCUGGGUCAGAGGGCUGACCUGAUCACUAAUUAUGGAGAAGCUGACACUGCUGAGAGAGGAGUGACAGGGGUGUGCUUCAGGGGCUUGCUUAGGAGGAUUCCACCUUGCAGCCCUGCCACUGUCCCUGCAAGCACACUUAAGUGGCCUGUGGCUUCUGGAGAUCCACAAGCAUCCAGGUGAGCUCUCAGACUGCCCCAGGCAGGAGGGAAAAGCCAGCAGAGGUGGCUAUUUUCUCUACCUCUCUGUAUCUAGCUUUCCCUAGACAAUUUACCCAUCCUGAUGCUGAUUUUACUUUCCACGCAGUAACACAGGGUCCUGACUGUUGGAAACAAAUAGAAAUAUUUUAACUGACUUCUAAUAUUAGGACCAUAGUCCUGAUAUUACACUGUUCUGUGUCAAGAUGAGCUUGUGAGGAGAAAUAUCCAGCUGUAAAAUUGUAUUUUGUAGUCCAAUUUAAGCAAAUGUUGCAGGUUAGUUAAGAGAUUGCCUAGCUUGACCUUUACACUUCACCUCCUGGUUCACCUACCUACGUCUCAGUUACAAUUCCCAGGACAGCCUGGUAUGGGAUACUGCUACGACAGUUUUUUGAAAGUUUCUCUCUUUAAUUCUAGGAUCUUCAACUGGCACACGCUAAUGCUUCUCUCCUCAAAAAUGUAUUUUAAAGUGCAGCUGUCAACAAUUCCGUGAGAUGCCUGCUGCUGUUUCCUAGAAGAUACUAAAGUUAAGAAAAAACCCACAUCAAUGAGAAGGGACAACAAAGGCAAACUGCAGCCAAUGGCAAGAUGCCAGAGCCAUGAAAAGGAUCCAGUGGAAUCCAGUGCUGCAUUUGGCACUUCAGACUGGAAAUCAAAACCAACCGGCCCUCGCUUUAGGGAGCUGCCCAGCAGUAGCCUGGAGGCAUUGAAGCCUCACAUGAAUAGCUGUGUAAAUUCCUAACUAUAGGAUCUUCCCCAAGAGAAAGAGACGCAUGAGAAACUCCCUCACCCGCUGGAAACUGAUCACUCUAAUCCAGCUACCAAACAGAUGCUCAAUGUGUGUCAUAUAGUUAAAGUUACAACUCUCCAGUGUUAAAUUCAUCCAAGGUUAAUUCCAAAGGCUAAUGUAUUCUUAUUUGCCAAGAGCAAGGGCUCUGGAGGUAGGACGAGCGGCUGAGGACGUCAUGGGAGCAGAGGAAGCGCAGGCCACAGAAAGGCAAGCAGCGAGGUGAAGCGGGGAUUGCUGCGACCGUUUCCAGGGGUCUGCUCUCCCCAGGAGCCGUGGAUGCUGACCUGUAAGGUCCCUGGCACAUAUAAUCGAAAGCCAAAACACUGGCAGAAGCACAGUUGGGGACAAUCCUGCGCUGUCAUUCCUGAACAGAUUGUUUUAGGCAGACAGACCUAAAAGUCCUGGCUGACCUUGCUUCCAAAGGUGAAUGUGAAAAACAAUAGGAAGGCAGCGAAUGCUGAGCAUAUUUAAAGCACAAUAAUGGGAAAUGCUGAUGACCUCCCAUUGCCACCGAGUCCUUUUCCUUCCCCUGGCAAAACCUAUGGCUUGUACCCACCAUUGCGCUACUGGCCCCUGGUUCCGUGAGCCUCUUCAAUAAGGCAGCCUAUUGAUUGAAAGAGGAAAUGCCUGGCAAUUCCAGUGGAAGAGUCAUAAGCACCUGCUCUUAAGUCAAACAGAUUUUUGGCAGGAAUGGACUAACUGCUCAUGGGUCAUCAGAGAGCUUAAGAAGGGAACAAAAUGUUAGAUACGAAAGCAAAGUGAUGUAAACACUCCCAUGCAGCACAGAAAAGCCAUCCAAAAUAACACAGUCGUGCUUGGAAAGACUCCGAGGGACGCAUUCCCCAAAGAAAUUAAGAGAUCUUCACUGAAGACGGUAAUAACUUAGAAGAACUAAAGUCUGAAAGCUAAUCGUUGUUUCACGUUUAUGGAAACUUCCUCAAGGAUGAAUGAAAGCACAGAAACCCUUUGUUGUACUGGAACCUGCCACGGCUGUGCUCCAUGUAAAGAACCCUCCCCACCAUGACAUUUACUAUUGUGGUACCGAAUUAAUUUUGCUCGGUGGAACCUGCUUAAGAGUAACAAAAAGAGAAGGAGGGAGAUGAUCUUUUCAUGUUUGUUACAUAUUGAUGCAACAGUGGGACACUGAAUUUCUUACAGUAAGGAAGACUUGGACUGUAAUGCUACAGAGAUUUACAUAAACUAAAAUGGGACAAGAAGAUGGGAAAACAGUGCUUAAAAUCCUACUGCUAAGUUUGCAGAGAGUCAAGAUGAUAUUCUUUGCUGAGUAUUUAUUUUUCCAGGAAUCCUUUGUCAUUGUGCUUGGCAGUGACAAUCUGCCACGGUUCUCAGAAGCUCUCAAAAAUACUUCUGCAGAGUGCAUUCUUUUCGUCUUCAAUGUACAAAACACUGCAAGAAAAGUACCCAGGAUGAAAUCCUGAUGCACAAGUCAGCUUGAAAGAUUGCAGGAUUUCUUUGUGCCAGUUAAUUGAUUAAUUGAAGUCAUCCUAACCAGACCUUUUGGUGAGGAUAUCCCCAGAGCCUCUGAAAGGUGUUCACUUCCAUUCUUCCCAUUGGCAUAUGCAGCUGAAUCUGACCAUAAUAUUAUCAUCCUAUAUCAUAAAUUGCAGUUUAAUAUGUUUACUUGCUAUGCGGUUCUGCCUGUUGGUUUGAUUAUGGAGCUAGAAAGCCUUUUUGAGAUCUUCCUUUAAAUGUCCUCACUGAUAAAAUUGAUCAAAAGUUAUACGAGACAAGUUUCUGGGGGAUCAUUUUGUCAAAGUGCUGGCCAUAUGAGUUACACGUUAGAUUGAUUUGAAAUUGGUAUGAGUAUUAUAGUUUAAGGAAUAAAAUCAAAGUAUUACUGCUUAAAACAAUGAUAAAGCAUUAAAAUGGCAGCCCUGAGUGUGCACCCAUAACCUCUCUUUCAGCUUUAACUACCACUUCUCUAUAUUUACCUGUGCCUUCUGAACCAAUAUUUAAAAAUAGUUACAGGGACAUCUUUUUGAUGAUGAUGUUCUGUCACUCUACAGAUUUGCUAAGUUGAACUUUGCUGGGUAGAGCAGCCUGGAAUUGGCACCUAUCAUUUUAUGGAGCAGAAGGGUCUUGGGGAAGCAGCUGUGAGCCAUGGAGAAGUCAGUUCUGUUGGCUCUGGCCCUGUAUUUCAUGAUCAGUGUGUGAUGGGGCUCCUCCACCCUCACCAACGAUGGAUCCGGCUGUGUCCUGCAUUUCUCAGCAUUCUCUUUCUGAGAAUGACGAUGAGAGGGUAGUCUGGCGACUCUGGCCUUUUGCAACAGCCAUAUUUGUGUCCUGGAGGGAAACUAGAGUGUAUGCAUGAGCAAAAUACAUUUUCUGUGGAUCAGAGAGACCUAGAAAAGUACAUGGUGCCAUGACAACUGUCUCCUGGAAUCAUUGGGCUAGUUAGCUAGGAAAAAGACUACAUUUAUCUUUUUUACACAAGCUUGCACUAGAUAUAACUUUUCUUUCCAAAGUUAAUAUCUUUUUCACCUGUGUAUAUAAACUACCUCCCUUUAAUUAUGCCCCCUAUGAAACUCAAGGCGAUCUGCAUGGCCAUGCAUUACCUUUGAGCUCCCUCAAGCGGCCACGAAACCCUCAAGUUUGUUGCACGGCUGCUUUUGCAACUAAGUCUUGCAGUUUAAGACCAUGUUUUUAAGAGCAAAUAUAGUAAACUGAAAGAGCUGCUCUGAUUUUAAGGAAUCUAGACUAGUUUAGGACAGUUGAAAAUGUGACCCCAUAAUUUGAAAACAUAGUUCUCAUUUAACAGAGCUGUUAAAAGAUACAUAUUGAGUGAAAAGUAAGUAGUUUAUGCCCAAUAGUAGUUCGCAGCAUAUGCACUACAAGCAUGCGAUAACAGCAUGUUUUGAAAACUUAUUUUUUAUUUUCUUGGGUGGUUACUGAUCAAAUUAAUACAGAGUAGCUGGAAA